UACGAAGGGGGCUAGCGUUGUCCGGAAUCACUGGGCGUAAAGGGCGCGUAGGCGGCUUCUUAAGCGUGCGGUGAAAGCCCGGGGCUCAACCCCGGGUCGGCCGUGCGAACUGGGAAGCUCGAGCCCACUAGAGGCAGGCGGAAUUCCGGGUGUAGCGGUGGAAUGCGUAGAGAUCCGGAAGAACGCCGGUGGCGAAGGCGGCCUGCUGGGGUGGAGCUGACGCUGAGGCGCGACAGCGUGGGUAGCAAACAGG
rnacentral:rRNA from 1 species